rnacentral:rRNA from 1 species
AGUGAACGCUGGCGGUAGGCCUAACACAUGCAAGUCGAACGGCAGCACAGUAAGAGCUUGCUCUUACGGGUGGCGAGUGGCGGACGGGUGAGGAAUACAUCGGAAUCUACUUUUUCGUGGGGGAUAACGUAGGGAAACUUACGCUAAUACCGCAUACGACCUACGGGUGAAAGCAGGGGAUCUUCGGACCUUGCGCGAUUGAAUGAGCCGAUGUCGGAUUAGCUAGUUGGCGAGGUAAAGGCCCACCAAGGCGACGAUGCGUAGCUGGUCUGAGAGGAGGAUCGGCCACACUGGAACAGAGACACGCGCCAGACGCCUACGGGAGGCAGCAGUAGGGAAGAUUAUGGAAUGGGGGCGAGCAUGACGGACCAACGCCGCGUGAGUGAUGAAGAUCUUCUGAUCGUAGAACUCUGUUUUUAGGGAAAAAAAAAUGUGCAAGUAAAUGUGCCCAUCUUGACGGUGCCUAAUCAGAAAGACACGGCUAACAACGUG